GAUGAACGCUAGCGGCAGGCCUAAUACAUGCAAGUCGGACGGGAUUGGGGAGCUUGCUCCCCAUGAGAGUGGCGCACGGGUGCGUAACACGUAUGUAACCUACCCUUGUCAGGGGGAUAGCCUCUCGAAAGAGAGAUUAAGACCGCAUAACAUUGUGAUGUAGCAUUAUAUUACAAUCAAAUAUUUAUAGGACAGGGAUGGGCAUGCGGAACAUAGCUAGUUGGUAAGGUAAUGGCUUACCAAGGCAACG
rnacentral:rRNA from 1 species